rnacentral:rRNA from 1 species
AACGAACGCUGGCGGCAGGCCUAACACAUGCAAGUCGAGCGCCCCGCAAGGGGAGCGGCGGACGGGUGAGUAAAGCGUGGGAACGUACCUUUUGCUUCGGAAUAGCCUCGGGAAACUGGGAGUAAUACCGAAUGUGCCCUACGGGGGAAAGAUUUAUCGGCAAAAGGUCGGCCCGCGUUGGAUUAGGUAGUUGGUGGGGUAAUGGCCUACCAAGCCGACGAUCCAUAGCUGGUUUUAGAGGAUGAUCAGCCACACUGGGACUGAGACACGGCCCAGACUCCUACGGGAGGAAGCAGUGGGGAAUCUUAGACAAUGGGCGCAAGCCUGAUCUAGCCAUGCCGCGUGAGCGAUGAAGGCCUUAGGGUUGUAAAGCUCUUUCGUGGGGGAAGAUAAUGACUGUACCCCAAGAAGAAGCCCCGGCUAACUCCGUGCUAGCCGCCGCGGUAAGAC